GACAGAGGGUGCAAACGUUGUUCGGAAUUACUGGGCGUAAAGCGUGUGUAGGCUGCCCCGCAAGUCGGGUGUGAAAGCCCCGGGCUCAACCUGGGAAGUGCACUCGAUACUGAUCGACUCGAAGGCAGGAGAGGGAAGUGGAAUUCCCGGUGUAGUGGUGAAAUGCGUAGAUAUCGGGAGGAACACCAGUGGCGAAGGCGACUUCCUGGCCUGUUCUUGACGCUGAGGCGCGAAAGCUAGGGGAGCAAACGGG
rnacentral:rRNA from 1 species